rnacentral:rRNA from 1 species
CUAUACAUGACUCUGCGCAUAUCAAUAAGCGGAGGAAAAGAAACUAACAAGGAUUCCCUUAGUAACGGCGAGUGAAGCGGGAAGAGCUCAAAUUUGAAAUCUUCAAGGUUCUACCUUGACGAAUUGUAGUUUAUAGAAGUGUUUUCUGUUAGUAGAGUGGCAAAAGUUCUUUGGAAUAGGACAUCAUAGAGGGUGAGAAUCCCGUAUUUGGUCAUUCUUCCUAGCGUUGUGAUACACUUUCAACGAGUCGGAUUGUUUGGGAAUGCAGUCCAAAAUGGGUGGUAAAUUUCAUCUAAAGCUAAAUAUUGGCGAGAGACCGAUAGCGAACAAGUACCGUGAGGGAAAGAUGAAAAGAACUUUGAAAAGAGAGUUAAACAGUACGUGAAAUUGUCAAAAGGGAAGCGUUUGACACCAGUGUUGUUUUUCCGAAAAUCAAUUACGAAUGGGUUAUUUUGAGAGUUAUGACUUCAAUCGCUUGUCUUACUUUCUUAUGACUUUCUUAAUGCACUUUUCGGUUAACAAGUCAACACCAAUUUCUUUUGUUGUAAAAGGGUAUGAGGAAGGUGGCUUUCUUUUCGGAGAAAGUGUUUAUAGCCUUGUACCUCUGCAAUCGGAGAGAUUGAGGUCUGCAGCGUAGAUCCUUCGGGGUUAGAUACAUUUGUGCUAAGUUAUAGCUUUUCAUAGACAACUUGUUGACUAUGUUAAGUCUUGUAGCUUACUCGCUUAUGCUAUUUUACCUACGCUUAGGAUGUUGAUAGUCACAGCGUGUAC